GUCGACGAUUUAACUCACGUAACAUAAGUUUGAACUCACAAAAAGUAUAUCAUUAUGUUACGUGAGUUCAAACUUAUGUUACGUGAGUUAAAUCGUCGAU